CAGCCGACGGGAGAAGGGCUGUUAGCUGUCAGUCCGCCCAGCUGUGACAGGGAGAUGAGGGAAUCCAGCUCCAUCUGCCACCAAGCAGCUCUGAUCUCCACAAAAUCUUCCCUCAUCCUGCUGAUACUCCUGGAUCAUCAAGUUUUCUCUACAUCUCUGAAUCACACGGCACAGAAGUCUGUGUUCAUCUGGUGGUUUGAGAACUAGCUGCCCUGAUACCAAGCAAGGCUUGCCAGAAAUAGAGAUAAGAGACUGUCAAUACCUGCUCUUCCCUUCAUGCACACGGGAAGCCUGUGAUGAAUGUUUUGGAUUCAUAUAACUAUUGCCCAAGGGCCACCAUUUUAAGGGAAGCUCCAAGGCUAGGGCUUAACCCCCAGCAGAGCUUUUGCUGGAAAUAAACAAGCCCAAAAAAUACCA
ensembl:lncRNA